ACGCUCCCAUGGGGAGCUUGCUCCCAGAGAUGCUGCGAGGAAAGUCCCCGUGCCUUGGUGCAGAGAGUGCCUUGGUGCAGAGAGUGUGUGUGGGAGACCGCAGGGCCCUUGCCGAGAGUGGGAGACCGCAGGGCUCGUGCCAAACCUCCAGUGGUGAUGCUUUUCGCUGAGCCUUGGUGGCUGGCUCGGGCCCUUCGCAGCAGCAACCUCCAGUGGUGAUGCUUCUCGCGGAGCCGUGGUGGCGGGCGUGGGUCCUUCGCAGCAGCACAGACAUGCCGUGAGUGCUCGCCAUGCGAGCGCCAACAGCGCUAACGGGGCUCACUCUCC
rnacentral:RNase_MRP_RNA from 1 species